AUAGUACUCCCUCCGUCCCAAAAUUCUUGUCUUAGAUUUAUCUAGAUACGGAUGUAUCUAAUACUAAAACGUAACUAGAUACAUCCGUAUUUAGAAAAAUUUAAGACAAGAAUUUUGGGACGGAGGGAGUAGUUC
rnacentral:pre_miRNA from 1 species